UACGUAGGGGGCAAGCGUUAUCCGGAUUUACUGGGUGUAAAGGGAGCGUAGACGGCUUUGCAAGCCAGAUGUGAAAGCCCGGGGCUCAACCCCGGGACUGCAUUUGGAACUGUGUGGCUAGAGUGUCGGAGAGGCAGGCGGAAUUCCUAGUGUAGCGGUGAAACGCGUAGAUAUUAGGAGGAACACCAGUGGCGAAGGCGGCCUGCUGGACGAUGACUGACGUUGAGGCUCGAAAGCGUGGGGAGCAAACAGG
rnacentral:rRNA from 1 species